UACGUAGGGUGCGAGCGUUGCCCGGAUUUAUUGGGCGUAAAGGGCGCGUAGGCGGCUCUGCACGUCCGUUGUGAAAUCGCCCGGCUCAACUGGGCGGGGUCAGCGGAUACGGCGGAGCUUGAGCAAGCUAGGGGGCAAUGGAAUUCCCGGUGUAGUGGUGAAAUGCGUAGAGAUCGGGAGGAACACCUGUGGCGAAGGCGGCCGGCUGGGGUGCCCUGACGCUGAGGCGCGAAAGCGUGGGAGCGAACCGG
rnacentral:rRNA from 1 species